CCCGCUUCCACGCGGGUCCCCCCCCCACCUCCCCAGCCAUCGUUACUGCCACCACCUCGGUUCCACUCAAUCGAUUUUUGCUGCAGGUCAACAUUUAUUACCGAUCACUUACUCUCAGGGAAGUCAGAAAUCAUGUCAUUUCAUGAGGACGCUUAAGCAACCCUAAGGACACAUUCAUGCAGCCCAGCAGGCUCCCCCGUCCCUGGGAUUCUCCAGGCAAGAACACUGGAGUGGGUUGCCAUUUCCUUCUCCAAUGCAUGAAAGUGAAAAGUGAAAGUCAAGUCGCUCAGUCACGUCCAACUCUUAGCGACUUCAUGGACUGCAGCCUACUAGACUCCUCCAUCCAUGGGAUUUUCCAGGACCUUAUUUCCUUGACCAGAGAUUGAACCCAUAAUCACUGCGGUAGAAGCACAGAAUCCU
ensembl:lncRNA